ensembl:lncRNA
AUGAAGCCUGUCAGUUACCAAGUCCUUUCGUCGUCCGUAAAUGGGGUUCAACCUGAUUUUGGAUUUCAUUCUCUAUCAGGUGCCUCCAAGGUGAGGUUUCCUGAGAGGACUGGACUUGAUUCCGCUGAGACUUCAGUGUAUAACAAGUCUGUGACGGACAAUAAGCAAACGCACUACACCUGUUUUUAUUGCAACUCGGUGUUUUUGCGAGAAGUGCAUUUAUUUGAACACAUGAAGCAGCAUGCUAAACAUUUUCCGUACGUGUGUCCUUACUGCGCGCAAGGCUACGUGAAACGACUUUGUCUUGUAAACCACAUUGAACGCUUUCACAGUAAAGACAUUAUACAAGGAUCGGCAAAGAGUGGAAGGCCCAAAGUCAUCCAGGAUUCUGUUCGCGGUGCCAUAAGAAGCACACCCACUAGUGACCCGUCACCAGUUCGACCAUAUGUCCACGUGACGGCACCGACCCCGGCUAAGCCCGCUGUCAGAGUGGAAAAAGAUCAACAGCUUGGAAAACAAUCGGUGGCGAAUUCAUCCAACACCAGCAAUGGUAACGCCGAACAUUUUUCUUUGAAUGGACACAUGCAGCACAACCGAGCUCUAACGGUUUCCUUACCGGACGAGGUGAAUAUUCCCGCGGGCUGCUUGGUUGAACUUGUCGAAGUAAAAACUGUAAACGGAACAAAGGAGCUAAAGCUAAGAGUCGUCUCCCAACAAGAAACCAAGUCCGCGGUAAAGGAGAAGCGAAACGCCGCCUAUCAAAACACUGCACUGGUAAAACCACUGUCAUCCACUUUGAAACAUCCCAUCAAGGUGACGCCUACGACUAUGGGAGCUUGCACCGUGAACAGGAAACGGUGUGAAAUCACUUCAUCAAAUGUGGAGCAAUCUUCUGCGGUUUCUUCUAGCAUCUUCAGAAAUCCAGUUAGUGUGAAUAAAAGGGGACUGAAAAGGCAAUCUCAAGAAAUAAUCAACCUGGAGUCCAAUAUUCUAAGCAAGGUUCCUAAAGUCAUCGUUUCUAGCAAAGUCAAUCCUGUAAGGGAGGGCCCCAUCAAGCUAACAAUACCUGCCAACCAUAAGGCUCUGCCUCCAACUGUUAGUGGUCCCAGGGUUACUACAGCAAGAACAGGCAUCUGUCAGAAGGUGGUGGGUGAAAGUAAGAUUGAGAUACCGGAGAACAGCAAAAUUGUCCCCCAACAGAGGAAAAGUGACACUAAAACUAUUCAAGCUGCACCAUUGGCUAUGACCUUUGAACCCGGGGGGAGCCACCUAAGCAGUAAGGCCAUCACAAACUCGGUGAGGGAAGCUUUAGCUUUGAGUUUAAUUUCUCGGCCCCCCGUUCAGCGGAGUUCUCCUCCUGCUAGGCCCCAGGCAGCUUCAACAAACAAGGACAGUGAUGUAAACCAAGUCUUUAGUCUAAACAAGACCAUGUCAAUCAAAACAUCGGUUGAUUCAAACCACACGACUUUAAGAAUGUCGCCCCAGUCGAGGGAAGCCCAGCCCAAGAAGGUUCCUGCUCAAAGUUUUCCUGUGAUUUCAUCAGUUUUUUCUUUAAGUCAACAGCCAGAGAAUCCACAAGGUGCCAUUAAGCCGGUACUGUUGGCUCUCCGAGGUGUUGUGUUGGAUAAAUUGAAGUCUGGGAGCACGCAUCAAGAAGAUGAACCCAGUGAAGGUCCAAUGUUGGGGAACACGGCUUGGGUGGAGACAAAAAGUGAAUCCUUCACCCAUGAAAUACUAACGUCAAACCACACAAAUGAGUCCAUUAAAGAAGAGCAGGACAAAGACUUGCCACGCAAUGCUGUCCAAGUAAAGGAAGAAAAAUACAACCCUCCGCCGAUACAGAUUAAAGACGAUGAUAAAAGCUGUGGCAGUCCGGAUUGGAAGCAUUCAACAAUGAAGAAGCCUGUGUCUCCUAAGCCUUCACAUGACGAGGCAUCUGCAUCCACGCAGACGUCGCAGCAACUUCUGAAAAAUGAGCACGACGUCUCCUCAAAGUUCCUCACUGUAUCCUUGGAAAGGAUGCGAGUCGGCAUGUUGGAUCAACAGCAGAGUGGACCGAAACAGCAGAAGUCUCUCGCACAUGUGAGCACUGGUGGCCACUGCUAUGUCAUGCCGCUCAGUAUGAACCAGCCGGUUAAACGGCCGGGCCCCAACCAGCCGGUGGUGGUGCUGAACCAUCCCAAACCACGUCUCUGUGGUGCAAACAAAACCAUGGCAGACUCAUGUAAUAGCAACGCAGCAACAGUCCAAGAGCUCCCUGAAUGUCAAAUCCUCAAAAUGAGGUUGAGUAAAGUGAUGGGACAAAAGUAUGAAGUCAUGGGCUAUACCGUCAAAGUCUCUCAGUGA